UAGUAUACCUCUCAAGAAUCAGUAUGCUGUGAGAAAUAAAUUUAAAUAUUUUCGUCUUAAAUUUUUUACAAAAAAUUGGCCAAUUUAAAUUUAGUACGUAAUCUGAAGGUUUAUCCAUUUCGAGGUUCAAAUUUAGCAGCAGUACUUUGCAAGUCUCAGUUCUUCUAAGUCAAAAUAAACUUUUAUUCUUGAGUUCUUUCAGCUUGUAAUUGAAACAGUAGGAAUUAAAACUAUUUUAAUGCAGCUCAAAUAUUAUUUAACAACAUUCCGGCUAAGUAUAUCCCAAAUUUGUGGUAUCGUCGAGUCAAUCUAUAUGUUGAACCAAUGGAAUAAAAUAAUAACUUCUGUUUAUAAAUAUUUUUAAUAUUAUUGAUUUAUUGUAAAAAAUACGCUAGAACCAAACUUAAAUAAUGAAAAAUAUUACUUAAUUUUGAAUUCCUGCCGAUACACGUAUAACAAUAAUCAUUUCGAAACGAUGCUCAAAAUAGUUAAGGUCAAACAAAAGCAGUGUAAAUACAUUGCAUGUGUAUGGAAAAGGAUGCGCGUUUCAAGUGGCUGCAAAUGGAGAAUGCGAUUGACGCUGCUUACGGCAACGCCCAGCACAGGAGAAGGAAUCAUUUACACUCAAGUGUGGCACAGGAUAUUAGAAAUUUACAUCAACAAUGUAAACACUUAUGGUUGACGGUGCUGAUGUGGAUUUUAAGCACUUUUUAGCGUUUUUCUCCUUGUCGCUUUGAGGAACAUGAGUUUGUCAUGAUGAAGAGCAACGCGUAAGGGUGUCAGUUGCAGUAGAAAAACCAUUUAAAAUAACACCAACCAAAGAACAAGAGGCAAUAGACGACGGUGACAGUCACAAGUACAUUUAUAAUUCCGACCUGUUUAAUUAUGCCGAAUAUGACGCGUGUUGGGCUUGUCGCAAGUCCCAAUCAACACUACUAUUGCUGCUUUCUGCAGAACUUCGAAUUUGUUUCCCAUCCGCUUCCCGUAGAGUUUGAUGCAUUUCGUAUCAUUUUUUUGCUGCCGCUCUUACAAGUUUUAAAUUAAUGUGCAGAAGUUUUGGAUGUUUCGUACUAAGACCGGCGGUCGUGGAUGUUACCGUAUAACUCAAUUGAAAUAAAGUUGCAAUAUAAAAGUUAAUAAAAUUACAAGUAAAAUAAAUCGAUAGGACAGCUGAAUAUCAGAAGAUAUACGCACUGGAUUUAAUUUUGUUGCUAUUCUGGUUUAUGACAGAAUUGUUUUGGAUUGUUCUGACAUCUUAAAGUUAGCAGAGAACUUUAACUUAACUCCACGUUAUGAUCAUUUAAAGAAAUAUAUCAUCUGAGUUAUACUUUGUUUGGUAUAGGGAACUACUUAAGAAGAUAGGUUUCAUGACUUCAGUCUCUUAGAUAGUUUCUUUUUAAUCCCCCUCAUUCCUGUAAUAUUUAACAGUUUAGUUUAAUACUUGAGUUUUACUCAACAUAUCAAUAUUAGAUUUUUCUUUAAUUUUCAUUUCUAUAUAACAUCUCUAAUAUGGUAAUUAUUCAUGUUGUAUAAUU